rnacentral:rRNA from 1 species
GACGAACGCUGGCGGCGUGCCUAAUACAUGCAAGUAGAACGCUGAAGAGAGGAGCUUGCUCUUCUUGGAUGAGUUGCGAACGGGUGAGUAACGCGUAGGUAACCUGCCUUGUAGCGGGGGAUAACUAUUGGAAACGAUAGCUAAUACCGCAUAACAAUGAAUGACACAUGUCAUUUAUUUGAAAGGGGCAAUUGCUCCACUACAAGAUGGACCUGCGUUGUAUUAGCUAGUAGGUGAGGUAACGGCUCACCUAGGCGACGAUACAUAGCCGACCUGAGAGGGUGAUCGGCCACACUGGGACUGAGACACGGCCCAGACUCCUACGGGAGGCAGCAGUAGGGAAUCUUCGGCAAUGGGGGCAACCCUGACCGAGCAACGCCGCGUGAGUGAAGAAGGUUUUCGGAUCGUAAAGCUCUGUUGUAAGUCAAGAACGAGUGUGAGAGUGGAAAGUUCACACUGUGACGGUAGCUUACCAGAAAGGGACGGCUAACUACGUGCCAGCAGCCGCGGUAAUACGUAGGUCCCGAGCGUUGUCCGGAUUUAUUGGGCGUAAAGCGAGCGCAGGCGGUUUGAUAAGUCUGAAGUUAAAGGCUGUGGCUCAACCAUAGUUCGCUUUGGAAACUGUCAAACUUGAGUGCAGAAGGGGAGAGUGGAAUUCCAUGUGUAGCGGUGAAAUGCGUAGAUAUAUGGAGGAACACCGGUGGCGAAAGCGGCUCUCUGGUCUGUAACUGACGCUGAGGCUCGAAAGCGUGGGGAGCAAACAGG